rnacentral:lncRNA from 1 species
GGGCACCCGGACUCCCGCACCCACCUGCAGCGAACGCCGCGCGGAGCACCCAGUCCCGUCCCCAGGGGCGCCCGGACCGACCCCCCCGGCCCCAGGGGCGCCCGGACCCCCGCACCCACCUGCAGCCAACGCCGCGCGCAGCACCCAGUCCCGUCCCCAGGGACGCCCGGACUCCCCGUCCCCAGGGGGCGCCCCGGCCCCGCACUCACCUGUAGCCAACGCCGCGCGGAGCAGCCCCCCCCCCCCCGUCCCCAGGGGCACCCGGAUCCCCCCUCCCCGUCCCCAGGGACGCCCGGACCCCGCACCCACCUGCAGCCAACGCCGCGCGCAGCACCCAGUCCCGUCCCCAGGGGCGCCCGGACGCCCCCCCCCGGCCCCAGGGGCGCCCGGACCCCGCACCCACCUGCAGCCAACGUCGCGCGGAGCACCCAGCCCCGUCCCCAGGGCGCCCGGACCCCGCACCCACCUGCAGCCAACGCGGCGCGCAGCACCCAGUCCCGUCCCCAGGGGCGCCCGGACGCCCCCCCCGUCCCCAGGGGCGCCCGGACCCCGCACCCACCUGCAGCCAACGCCGCGCGCAGCACCCAGUCCCGUCCCCAGGGGCGCCCGGACCCCCCCGCCCCAGGGGGCGCCCCGACCCCGCACUCACCUGUAGCCAACGCCGCGCGGAGCAGCCCCCGUCCCCAGGGGCGCCCGGACCCCGCACCCACCUGCAGCCAACGCCGCGCGGAGCAGCACCGGCCCCGCGGCUGGACGGCGCCGAGCAGCCCCGCAGCCCUCGGCGUCCAGCCCGGGGCCGGCCCGCGGCUCCCCCCCUGCGGCCGCGGGGCCUCCCCAAGGCAGGCAGGACCGGGUGCCCCGCGGGUCGCCGUCACCCACCCGCUUCCGCAGCCGACCCGGCGGGGCGGAGGGGCGGGGCGGCGGGCGCAGGGCCCCGCGGGUCUCCGCCCCCGCCCCGCCCCGCCCCCGGCAGCCCCCGCCCCCGCCCCCCGCGCCCCUCUCCGGCUGCAGCUCCCUAACCAGCCGCGGGGGGCCCGGCGCCGCGUCCCUGGGCUCCCGCCGCCCCCCGCCUCGGGGCCACCGCACCCCCGCCCCGCGCCCCGGCUCCGCGUUUCUCCGGAAUCCUCCACCCGGGGGAGGGAAGAAAAAAAACAAAACAAAACAAAACAAAACAAAAAAACAAACCCGCGUCCGCCUCCGCGCCCGGGGCCCGCGAUCUGCAAAAGUAACCGGGGCCCGCGUUCAAAACAGUAA